UACGUAGGGUGCAAGCGUUGUCCGGAAUUAUUGGGCGUAAAGAGCUCGUAGGCGGUUUGUCGCGUCUGCUGUGAAAACUCGGGGCUUAACUCCGGGCCUGCAGUGGGUACGGGCAGACUAGAGUGCGGUAGGGGAGACUGGAAUUCCUGGUGUAGCGGUGAAAUGCGCAGAUAUCAGGAGGAACACCGGUGGCGAAGGCGGGUCUCUGGCUCGACCCUGACGCUGAGAGGCGAAAGCGUGGGGAGCGAACGGG
rnacentral:rRNA from 1 species